rnacentral:rRNA from 1 species
GGACUACACGGGUAUCUAAUCCCGUUCGCUCCCCGCGCUUUCGCGUCUCAGCGUCAGGGCCGGACCAGGGCGCCGCCUUCGCCACGGGUGUUCCUCCUGAUCUCUACGCAUUUCACCGCUACACCAGGAAUUCCACGCCCCUCUUCCGGCCUCAAGCCGCGCAGUCGCGGGCGGCGUCCCGGGGUUGAGCCCCGGGCUUUCACACCCGACUUACGCAGCCGCCUACACGCGCUUUACGCCCAGUAAAUCCGGACAACGCUCGCCCCCUACGUAUUACCGCGGCGGCUGGCAC